CUCAGUUUGAAUGAGAAGAAAAAAAAAUGUACAUGCUAUUCGAAAGUCCUUUGAAGAUGAAAACCGAUUUUUGAACGCUUAUGAUAUCAUCAAAAUUAAAAGCGAUAUUUUUAAUAAAGAAAAAACGGAGCUCAUGAAAAUGUAUUCAUGUUUCACGAGCGACCAGUGUUUGCUUUUAUCCAGCUGUAUUCGUACCAGCCGUAGUCGUAGGCGGUGUACCGAAUGAAAUUGCUCUAUCAAUAAAUUGCAUAACACGUUACAGCUCACAAUCAGACGAAGCUGUCCAGUGCCUACAUAGUCCAGAGUCAUAGUAUUUCCAGUCGGACAUACAGUCAUUCGUCGAGUCAAACGCUCCAGUUUUAUCCUUGCAAAUCAUACUUGUUAGCCAUAAAUCCUAUAGAUUUUGGAUUAUCACGAGGACAUGCUUUCAAAAUUUAUCCCAUGUAUUUUUUUCUUAGCAAACUUACGGACUGCAGUUUAUAUAGUGCUCGCAACUGUGUUUCAUCCAGGGUUGUGUAAUCAGAUGUCUCACGGAAUUUUGUCGGCCACUCGAUACGUGCUAUAUAGCCUAAUUAGCAAUGUAUAAAUUAAUCGCCGAUGAGUGUAAGAAACUUAUUACUUCACGGAAUUGAAGGUCACGCAGGUGGAAAGUUUUGGAUAAUGAAAAAUGUGAAUAAUUUUGAGGCAGUUCACUUAUGCUAACGAAUAUCACGAUGGGAGGUGAUUUUUCGCAACUCUGUCUAUCGUUAAUCUUCAUGUAGCGCGAUGUUACGGAAAAUUCCGAUGAAAUUCCGUGCAAAUAUGACAAGUCUAAUCGUAUAGAUCAUUUGCAGAUAUCAUUGAUGGAGGAACGCGAAAAAGUGAGGAACCAUCACGUGUGACUAUUAGGUUUUUUUAUUUAAAUCUACCUCUUCUACGUCUCAUCGACUCGUAUGUAUAUGUACACGUGUAUUCACGUAGGUACCUAUUUUCAAGGAAGAAAUAUUGCCAAAUUUCAACUAUAUUAGCUCCGCAGCUACACACACCUAGUAUUGACUGUAGAAUAUAUUCAAUUCAAUAUAGAAUAUGCUUGUUCAAGUGUUCGAUGUGUUUAUGGACGCUAUUUGCCAUUUUUUUUUUCACAUUAUGUAGUGGCAGAAUAUAUUACGAUAUAUUAAUACCAAGUAAUUAUUAUUUGCUUCUUUGACUAUCACAAUACGUCAUCCUUAUAUGUGUAGAAUUUUUUGAUUUUAGCGAUGUCUUGUAAGUGUAGCAAAUCAGCCGAUUCCACAUUCUCUGCAAGGAUGUUGUACGGCCAUGAUCCGGUCGAGAAAAUUCUUGCCUUGUACUCUAUAGAUCCGAUCUAAUUCUGAAGAAACGUAGGCCAGUCAAAAUUUUUAGGUUUUCUCAUCUCGAGUGAGAUCUCCUCGCGCUAAAUGGCCGGCUGUUAUACACGACAUAAAUUUCUGGCUCAUGCGAAAUGAUAAGUAUGAAAUGACAUGGAUAUACACUUGAUGAAUUCCUUCACACGAUGAUCAAUUAUUACAUAAUCUAUUUAUACUUGGAAAAUUUGAGAAUUCUGUGUAUUUGUGUAAUGUGUUUCUGUGUGUACCUGUCUUAUGCGUAUCUAGAUUUCGCCGCCCACCUGUACGUAUUACAUAAUAUUGGCAUAUAGCUGGCACAUUGAUUUGUUCAAUAUGAGAUUGUCUCUCGGGUGAAACGGACGAGUAGCAUUGACCCGGAAAAGUUUUCUGCUAUACAGGCACCAAGCGAUUUCGCACGAUGGGUUAAAUUUACUCUCUUCCAAUACCUAUUUUUCAUUUCAUAAUUUUUUUUCCCACUCUUCACAAAUUCAAUGUUAAUAUAAUUUAGAAAAUAAAACAGCUUCGGGCGGCGACCAUAGCUCCACCAUCGUGCAGCCUCUUUCUUAUUUUUAUCCGUAGCCUCCGUGUACGUCUAGUAGUGCACGCGUAUUCGGCAGCCCCUAGGCACAGCCAUCGUAGAUAAAUCCGAUUUGCUCGGCCUUGGCAUUUGCUUUUCACACGUGUCCAUGGUGCAUGAGGCAAGGCGAGCUGUGCCAUAUGUUUGAUAGCGGAAGAGUAACAACGUGGGAUGGCGGGGGAUUGAAUUUUUUUUUUUUUUUCGAACCACGUAGGAUUUUGUGGUCAAUCUUUAUUUUCUCUAUUUUUUGCGUUAGAUCCAAAAUAUUAAUAAAUGAACGCAAAAAUUUUCCAUCGUACUAUGUAGUUCAAUCGCAACCACUGAUGAUCGUUUCGGUUGAACCUCGCUGUUCAUUCAUUUAUUUCUUUUUUCUAACGAAAAUAACUGGAGCAAAAUUCUUGUACGUGAAAAAGUAUCAAGACUGGUAACAUUACAUUGCCUAGUCUCAAUAAUUAUUAUCAUGUUAUAGUCCGGUGGAAAAUCGUAGCGCUUAUAUAAUUUCUGGCUGAAUUGAACUUGCUAAGUUUCUGAACUUCUGCGAAGUUGGCUCCUCAUUUCCCUCAAAAUGUAUUAACCGCAGUAUUGUUGUGAGAAUAUUAUUGCUAAUCUGUACGUCUGGUGUGUUCGGUGUAUGAAUAUAGUGUUGCAACAUUUGUUUUUGGCGCCAAUUCUUGGCAGUGCCAAUUCUCACCUGCACGAUUCUUUUUUCCGGCCUUGCAAACUGUAAUCUGUACGUAACAUAGGUUCGAAGGACAUUCGAAAUUUACAGCACAUCUUAGGAACCCUUAUAGAAUUCCAUCAAACAGCUCCUUUUUGAGCAUCGACGUUCACAGACGAUAUUCACAAUUCGGUGCGGUAUGUAUGCACAUACACGGAGGUGUGAGAUUGGAAAAUUAGUGCCUGUGAAUAAUGAAUGUAGAUACAUACAUGUGCACACAUCUAUAAUUGUGUUAUACCGAAAGAAAACAAAUUCAACUUCGAACUACGAUUGAUGGUUGUUAAAUCUCGUUAUUACAUAGCUCCUAAUGGUAGGUCAAUAAUUGUCAACCUAGAAAAUGUGUGCUCUGCCCGAAUGUUGCAUAAGAGUCACAAUCUUGUAACCGUAUUUACUGAAGAUAUUGAUCGUAUACAAAUUUGCGGUACCACUCUAGAAAAUUGUGGGUCUGCGAGUAUCCUAUAUCUUUUUUGUACGUCAAUUCACGAAUUUUUGGCUACGGAAAAAUAUGCCAAA